GGGGGCGACCGGAUUCGACGGGGAUCAAGAGGUUUCGGGCGGCAUGCCGAGGUCCCACAGGGGCUCGUUAAACACCUGUGGAAACAAGCAACUGCCAAUUCAGAAUUGGCCCUCGCUGCUUAAUAGCGGCGCGUCCAUCUGACUGUCGUCUGUGCGGUUAGACCGGAUGUCACGAUAGCAGACUGGUUCCGCGGGCGGUCCAGGCCCGCGGGAUGAGACAAACUGGAAUAGCGGCUCUUUGGGUUUGUUGCUGUACCCGAGGAGCGGCGAAUCAAAAACAGCCACUAUGCAUGUAGUCACCUGGGGCUGAAGUUCUUCGGACGCGGGUUCAACUCCCGCCGCCUCCACCA
rnacentral:tmRNA from 1 species